rnacentral:rRNA from 1 species
AGUGAACGCUGGCGGUAGGCCUAACACAUGCAAGUCGAACGGCAGCACAGUAAGAGCUUGCUCUUACGGGUGGCGAGUGGCGGACGGGUGAGGAAUACAUCGGAAUCUACUUUUUCGUGGGGGAUAACGUAGGGAAACUUACGCUAAUACCGCAUACGACCUACGGGUGAAAGCAGGGGAUCUUCGGACCUUGCGCGAUUGAAUGAGCCGAUGUCGGAUUAGCUAGUUGGCGGGGUAAAGGCCCACCAAGGCGACGAUCCGUAGCUGGUCUGUGAGGAUGGUCAGCCACCCUGGAGCUGGGACACGGUCCAGGCUCCUGCGGGAGGCAGCAGUGGGGAAUAUUGGACAAUGGGCGCAAGCCUGAUCCAGCCGUACCGCGUGGGUGAAGAAGGCCUUCGGGUUGUAAAGCCCUUUUGCUGGGAAAGAACAGCAGCAGGUUAAUACCACGCUGUUCUGACGGUACCCAAAGAAUAAGCACCGGCUAACUUCGUG